AAGCUCGUAGUUGAAUUUCGGGAUCAAUGUUUCGGUCAUGCCGUUGGUAUGUACUGAUAUUAUUGAUUUCUCACCUUCUAAAGAACCGUAAUGCCAUUAAUUUGGUGUCACGGGGAAUUAGGACUGUUACCUUGAAAAAAUUGAGUGUUUAAAGCAGGCUCACGCUUGAAUACAUUAGCAUGGAAUAAUGAAAUAGGACAUCCGAUUCUAUUUUGUUGGUUUCUAGGAUCGAUGUAAUGAUUAAUAGGGAUAGUUGGG
rnacentral:rRNA from 1 species